GGUGAAACCGCGAAAGGCUCAUUAAAUCAGUUAUGGUUCCUUGGAUCGUACCCACAGCUACUUGGAUAACUGUGGUAAUUCUAGAGCUAAUACAUGCAAACAGAGCUCCGACCGGAGACGGGAGGAGUGCUUUUAUUAGAACAAAACCGAUCGGCGGCGGGCGCGUCCGCGCGUCCGUCGGCCGCACAAGCCUGGUGACUCUGAAUAACUUCACGCUGAUCGCACGGUCUCGCACCGGCGACGCAUCUUUCAAAUGUCUGCCUUAUCAACUGUCGACGGUAGGUUCUGCGCCUACCGUGGUCGUAACGGGUAACGGGGAAUCAGGGCUCUAUUCCGGAGAG
rnacentral:rRNA from 1 species